AAAGACCCAAUUCUUAGGUUUUUAUGUACAAUGUUUUACCGUCCGUCUUAUAUAAAUUUUUUUUAUGAUUAGUAUUUUCAUUAUUAUUAGAUGAUAAAACAUGAACAAUACUUUAAUAUUUUAUGCAUAAGUUAUCUUUCUAAUUUCUUUAUAAUUUUUUAAAUAAAGUGAACGGUUAAAUAUUAGACACGGAAAU
rnacentral:pre_miRNA from 1 species